rnacentral:lncRNA from 1 species
CUAACUUGUGUAACAAACAGCUUCCAAAUUCCAGAGGCCUAUGAGCUUAUGAACAGCCCACUGUAGGAGUUCCUAGCUAGCAAUUUUCACCUGGGCAGUAUUUCAUAGGUUCAAGAUUUCUUCAUUUAGUGCCUUUAUCUUUCUCCAGGUCCUCAGAGUCCUCUCCACUUAACUAGUAGUUUUGCGGGCCACUUACUGCUUUCAGCUCAUGUUCCCUUAGAAUAAAUUGAUCAUAUCUUUACACCUAGAUGCAAAGCAUACUGGGAGCUUUAUGUGCCCAGGAAAAAAAAGAGAAAUUGGGAAACAACUGGAUAAUCUGUCUCUACAAUACACCCUGAAUUUUUUCCUUCUUGCGAGAAACAAGCAGAGGCAGAGAUCUAUUUAAGGAAAAUGUAAGAAAAAAACUUUAAAUUCUCUAAUUAUUUUUGAAAAUAUGGAAAUGGAUAUCAUUUAAUCUUGUUAGAGAAUUAGAGAAUUGAUACCCCUUUGUCUACUCUGCAGGUAUCUGUGGGCAUAGUAUCAUCUUUUGUUGUCCAUAAGCAAUUUGAAAUUAGUGACCAUCGUGUAACA